AGAAAUAUGUCUGAUAAAAAGAGUUACUUUGAUAGAGUAAAUAAUGGAGGUUUUAACCCCCUCCUAUUUCUA
rnacentral:tRNA from 1 species